UCAACGGAGAAGAUACGUGUAUUGGUUGAUUGAAGGUUUGUGAUCAUGAUUGAUCAAUCAAUCAAUUGAUCGAUCGUUUGAUUGAUUGAUUGAUCGAAUGAUUGACAGUUCGUAAAAAUAGCGAUGGGACGUUUAUUUCGAAUUCUGCACUUGAUUGAUAUCAACACUUGAUUGAUUGAUCGAUCUCUAAUCAUGAUUUGAUCAAUGUGAUCAUGAUUUGAUCACUCUGAUCAUGAUUUGAUUGAUUGAUUGAUUGAUCGAUUGAUCGAUACGUUGUAUUGCCUAAAAUGACACAUUUUGCAUAGGUUUAUUUAUUGUCUAUACGUUUCAUACUGUUCAGUGACAAAUAUCUGACGCACAAUUUUGCAUGUAGUAUUGAGAAAAAUACUCUAUUUGCUUUUCUUACAUCCGAAAAAAAAAAAAGAAUUGCGAAUGAGUUAUUAUAACACUAGAUUUGCUAUUGCAAGCAAUAGCGGACGAUGGCACCCCGUACUGCACAUUGUCACAGUAGCAUCAACAAUUAUGAGUGUACAAAAGUCAAAUGGCAUAUCUAUUAUACAUGUCGGAAUCAGCAUGUCUAAACACCCCCCCCCCUUUUUUUUUUCUCUUCCGUAGAAUACGUUUCAGUUCUAUACAUAGUUUGGGAAUCCUUUUUAAAUCUAAAAUUAGACACGCGCGCAAGUAGGAAGGUGGUGUCACGUGAUACUGAAGUAUAUUAUCGUGGACUUAGCAUAUUAAUAUUCUUUUUAGAGGGGACGUAGGACAGACAACAUGUGUAUAUAUUGACGGAGCGGCGUAUUAACUGUUCAAUUUAUUCUUCAAUAGCUCGCGUAUCAUACAAUACAUGUAACUUAUCGUGUACAAUUUAAUUACAUGUUUAUCGAUUGAUUUCAGCUAAUGUGUAUAUUUUAGCAGGUGUGUCAUUCACGGAUAUGUACUUUAACGCAAGUGCAGAAAUGUCAGUAAUUUGUACUCUGAGUGUUUCUCGUUCUCUCGGUGGCGAUUUUCUCUUUAAAGCACAUUAAAUAAAAUACAUAUUUUUAUUCUAGAAUAUUCUAGUACAUGUUAGCAGUACAGCAAUUGCAUGUGACCAUUUGCACACACUCCUAAUUACGAUUUCCGUGGAAUUGUUGUUAUAUUUUUCAAGAAAAUGCAGCUAAAACGCAUUUUCCCAUAGGGUCAAUGUUAAACUUUUGUCUAGUUUCCAUGGCAAUGGCAGCCAUUUUGAAAAUUCCAAGUACUGUUGGUACCUCGGGGCACCACUGCCAACAUUUACAUAAACUUUCAAGACUUUGCCUCUUAUAACGAAAGAUUUAAAAUUUGGAUUUUUUUUUACAUUUUUUUUGUUUCCAUGGUAACGGCGGCCAUUUUUUACCAUUCCAAUGUCUCUUGCACAACUUCACAUGGCGGUUCAUAUUAUGGUAUAGUUCCAUCAACAUGGGUCUGACCAAUUACGAGAAAUAGCGUGGACAAAAUGUGUGGAAGAAUAAAAAUAAAAAGAAAAAAAAGAAACGUAGAAUAACAAGAUGUCACCCCAACUCCGUUGAGGGUGCCAUAAUGAUACGCGAAGCGAAUUAAAGGUUUUUUCUUUCAUGAAUUCAACGGAGAAGAUACGUGUAUUGGUUGAUUGAAGGUUUGUGAUCAUGAUUGAUCAAUCAAUCAAUUGAUCGAUCGUUUGAUUGAUUGAUUGAUCGAAUGAUUGACAGUUCGUAAAAAUAGCGAUGGGACGUUUAUUUCGGAUUCUGCACUUGAUUGAUAUCAACACUUGAUUGAUUGAUCGAUCUCUAAUCAUGAUUUGAUCAAUGUGAUCAUGAUUUGAUCACUCUGAUCAUGAUUUGAUUGAUUGAUUGAUUGAUGAUUGAUCAAUACGUUGUAUUGCCUAAAAUGACACAUUUUGCAUAGGUUUAUUUAUUGUCUAUACGUUUCAUACUGUUCAGUGACAAAUAUCUGACGCACAAUUUUGCAUGUAGUAUUGAGAAAAAUACUCUAUUUGCUUUUCUUGCAUCCGAAAAAAUGGAUUGCGAAUGAGUUAUUCUAACACUAGAUUUGCUAUUGGAAGCAAUAGCGGAGGAUGGCACCCCGUACUGGACAUUGUCACAGUAGCAUCAACAAUUAUAAGUGUACAAAAGUCAAAUGGCAUAUCUGUUAUACA
rnacentral:lncRNA from 1 species